UAUUGAACGCUGGCGGAAUGCUUUACACAUGCAAGUCGAACGGCAGCACGGGUGCUUGCACCUGGUGGCGAGUGGCGAACGGGUGAGUAAUGCGUCGGAACGUACCGAGUAAUGGGGGAUAACGCGGCGAAAGUCGCGCUAAUACCGCAUACGCCCUGAGGGGGAAAGUGGGGGAUCGCAAGACCUCACGUUAUUCGAGCGGCCGACGUCUGAUUAGCUAGUUGGUGGGGUAAAGGCCUACCAAGGCGACGAUCAGUAGCGGGUCUGAGAGGAUGAUCCGUCACACUGGGACUGAGACACGGCCCAGACUCCUACGGGAGGCAGCAGUGGGGAAUUUUGGACAAUGGGGGCAACCCUGAUCCAGCCAUUCCGCGUGAGUGAAGAAGGCCUUCGGGUUGUAAAGCUCUUUCAGCUGGAACGAAACGGUACGCUCUAACAUAGCGUGCUAAUGACGGUACCGGCAGAAGAAGCACCGGCUAACUACGUGCCAGCAGCCGCGGUAAUACGUAGGGUGCGAGCGUUAAUCGGAAUUACUGGGCGUAAAGCGUGCGCAGGCGGAUUGUUAAGCAAGACGUGAAAGCCCCGGGCUUAACCUGGGAAUGGCGUUUUGAACUGGCAGUCUAGAGUGCGUCAGAGGGGGGUGGAAUUCCACGUGUAGCAGUGAAAUGCGUAGAGAUGUGGAGGAACACCAAUGGCGAAGGCAGCCCCCUGGGAUGACACUGACGCUCAUGUACGAAAGCGUGGGUAGCAAACAGGAUUAGAUACCCUGGUAGUCCACGCCCUAAACGAUGUCAACUGGUUGUUGGGGGAGUGAAAUCCCUUAGUAACGAAGCUAACGCGUGAAGUUGACCGCCUGGGGAGUACGGUCGCAAGAUUAAAACUCAAAUGAAUUGACGG
rnacentral:rRNA from 1 species